UCCGGUUGAUCCUGCCAGAGGUUACUGCUAUCGGUGUUCGCCUAAGCCAUGCGAGUCAUAUGUUCUUCGUGAACAUGGCGUACUGCUCAGUAACACGUGGAUAACCUGCCCUUGGGUCCGGCAUAACCCCGGGAAACUGGGGAUAAUUCCGGAUAACGCAUAUAUGCUGGAAUGCUUUAUGCGUCAAAUGGAUUCGUCUGCCCAAGGAUGGGUCUGCGGCCUAUCAGGUAGUAGUGGGUGUAAUGUACCUACUAGCCAACAACGGGUACGGGUUGUGAGAGCAAGAGCCCGGAGAUGGAUUCUGAGACAUGAAUCCAGGCCCUACGGGGCGCAGCAGGCGCGAAAACUUUACAAUGCGGGAAACCGUGAUAAGGGGACACCGAGUGCUAGCAUCAUAUGCUGGCUGUCCAGGUGUGUAAACUACACCUGUUAGCAAGGGCCGGGCAAGACCGGUGCCAGCCGCCGCGGUAACACCGGCGGCCCGAGUGGUGAUCGUGAUUAUUGGGUCUAAAGGGUCCGUAGCCGGUUUGGUCAGUCUUCCGGGAAAUCUGAUAGCUCAACUAUUAGGCUUUCGGGGGAUACUGCCAGGCUUGGAACCGGGAGAGGUAAGAGGUACUACAGGGGUAGGAGUGAAAUCUUGUAAUCCCUGUGGGACCACCUGUGGCGAAGGCGUCUUACCAGAACGGGUUCGACGGUGAGGGACGAAAGCUGGGGGCACGAACCGGAUUAGAUACCCGGGUAGUCCCAGCCGUAAACGAUGCUCGCUAGGUGUCAGGCAUGGCGCGACCGUGUCUGGUGCCGCAGGGAAGCCGUGAAGCGAGCCACCUGGGAAGUACGGCCGCAAGGCUGAAACUUAAAGGAAUUGGCGGGGGAGCACAACAACGGGUGGAGCCUGCGGUUUAAUUGGACUCAACGCCGGACAACUCACCGGGGACGACAGCAAAAUGUAGGCCAGGCUGAAGACCUUGCCUGAAUCGCUGAGAGGAGGUGCAUGGCCGUCGCCAGUUCGUACUGUGAAGCAUCCUGUUAAGUCAGGUAACGAGCGAGACC
rnacentral:rRNA from 1 species